rfam:Dipodomys ordii contig_44137, whole genome shotgun sequence.
AUUGCUUCUCAGCCUUUUGGCUAAGAUCAAGUAUAGUAUCUGUGUAGUAUCAAGUAUACUAUCUGUGUAGUAUCAAUUUAUAGUUAUUUUCUUACGGAAUUCCCAUAUUGAUGUUCACAACGGCCAGACUAAUUUACAUUUCCAACAGUUUGCUUUUUCCUCCC